rnacentral:rRNA from 1 species
UCGUUGAUUUCACACUGCCGAGAAAAGCCUCUAGAUAGAAAAUAGGUGCCCGUACCGCAAACCGACACAGGUAGUCAAGAUGAGAAUUCUAAGGUGAGCGAGCGAACUCUCGUUAAGGAACUCGGCAAAAUGACCCCGUAACUUCGGGAGAAGGGGUGCUCUUUAGGGUUAACGCCCAGAAGAGCCGCAGUGAAUAGGCCCAAGCGACUGUUUAUCAAAAACACAGGUCUCUGCUAAACCGUAAGGUGAUGUAUAGGGGCUGACGCCUGCCCGGUGCUGGAAGGUUAAGAGGAGUGGUUAGCUUCUGCGAAGCUACGAAUCGAAGCCCCAGUAAACGGCGGCCGUAACUAUAACGGUCCUAAGGUAGCGAAAUUCCUUGUCGGGUAAGUUCCGACCCGCACGAAAGGCGUAACGAUUUGGGCACUGUCUCAACGAGAGACUCGGUGAAAUCAUAGUACCUGUGAAGAUGCAGGUUACCCGCGACAGGACGGAAAGACCCCGUGGAGCUUUACUGUAGCCUGAUAUUGAAAUUCGGCACAGCUUGUACAGGAUAGGUA